AGGCCUGUGGGGAGGGGAGCAGAGCUUCCAUGCCCUCCCUGCAUGCACCACCCUCCAGGAACCUCCACAUGUUCAGCUGUCUGGAAGCUCUUCCGAACCCUGUCCAUUUGAACUGUUAUGGAGGCUUCAUUACAUAGGACACUGGAUCCUGAGAGAGUGACACCAAGAGGAAUUGGAGGAGCCAAGAGGAAUUGGAGGCGAUUCUUGGCAGCUGUGAUGGGGCUGGGGGUGACAGGUGGGCUCUGCCUGGCCGACGAGGUGGUCGCCAUGUGUAUUGCUUCCUGCUUCCUGACUCCCUGGAGCUCCCUGGAAACUGCUCAAUCUCAAGCCUGGUGCCCCAGCCUCCUGUCAAUUCUGCGAGUCCUCCAACAACCUUUUGUUAGGUCUUGGUCUGUCACCCAGGCUGGAGUGCAGUGGUCCAGUCAUGGCUCACUGCAGCCUCAACCUCCCAGACUCAAGUGAUCCUCUCGCCUCAGCUUCCCUAGUAGCUGGGACUGAAGUCUUGCUUCACCCUACCCAGCUAAUUAAAAAAAAAAAUUUUCUGUAGAGACAGUGUCUUGCCAUGUUGCCCAGGCUGGUCUCGAACUCCUGGAUUCAUACUAUCCUCCCACC